rnacentral:rRNA from 1 species
UCUACGGGAGGCAGCAGUGGGGAAUAUUGGGCAAUGGGCGCAAGCCUGACCCAGCAACGCCGCGUGAAGGAAGAAGGCUUUCGGGUUGUAAACUUCUUUUCUCAGGGACGAAGAAAGUGACGGUACCUGCGGAAUAAGCCACGGCUCACUACGUGCCAGCAGCCGCGGUAAUACGUAGGUGGCACGCGUUAUCCGGAUUUACUGGGUGUAAAGGGCGUGUAGGCGGGAAAGAAAGUCAGAUGUGAAAACCAUGGGCUAAACCUGUGGCCUGCAUUUGAAACUGUUUUUCUUGAGUACUGGAGAGGCAGACGGAAUUCGUAGUGUAGCGGUGAAAUGCGUAGAUAUUAGGAGGAACACCAGUGGCGAAGGCGGUCUGUUGGACAGCAACUGACGCUGAGGCGCGAAAGCGUGGGGAGCAAACAGGAUUAGAUACCCCAGUAGUC